GAUGAACGCUGGCGGCGUGCUUAACACAUGCAAGUCGAACGGGAAACCUUUUAUUGAAGCUUCGGCAGAUUUAGCUGGUUUCUAGUGGCGGACGGGUGAGUAACGCGUGGGUAACCUGCCUUAUACAGGGGGAUAACAGUCAGAAAUGGCUGCUAAUACCGCAUAAGCGCACAGAGCUGCAUGGCUCAGUGUGAAAAACUCCGGUGGUAUAAGAUGGACCCGCGUUGGAUUAGCUGGUUGGUGGGGUAACGGCCCACCAAGGCGACGAUCCAUAGCCGGCCUGAGAGGGUGAACGGCCACAUUGGGGCUGAGACACGGCCCAGACUCCUACGGGAGGCAGCAGUGGGGAAUAUUGCACAAUGGGGGAAACCCUGAUGCAGCGACGCCGCGUGAAGGAAGAAGUAUCUCGGUAUGUAAACUUCUAUCAGCAGGGAAGAUAAUGACGGUACCUGACGAAGAAGCCCCGGCUAACUGCGUG
rnacentral:rRNA from 1 species